rnacentral:lncRNA from 1 species
UUGCGCGAGAGAAACCCUCUCGUUCGUGAACGCCACCGGCCGUUAGUCGUCGACAGUCGCCGCUGCCACCAAGUCAAGGAUUUGGCUCUCCGUCGAGCCCACCACCGUCGCCGUUAAGAGCCGAUGUCGCUUCACAGGGCCGAUGGUGUUAUUCCCUUCUUCUUCCUUCUCUUCGUCACUCAUGCCGCUGACGAUGCCGCCACGACCAUCUUCCUCAGACGCCAGAACCUCGACGGUGCUACCUCUCUCCACUGCGACACUGUCACCAAGCCAUCACGGGAAAUGGAGCAAGUGUUGGUGACCCCAAUCGCUUUCCUCUCAUAACUCUGCUUUGGUAGGUAUUGUCGAUAAGGAUGAUGAGAUUUUUUCCUUCUCUGUUGGAUUGAUGUAGGUAUUUUAUUGUAUGUUUGGUGGAUUGAAAGAGAGGAUUCGGUGCCUCGAGAAUUUGGAUGAAUUGGUGGUGAACAAAAGGAGUAUCUAUUCUGGUGGUUGGGCGAAGAAUGGUGAUGGGAUUGAAGGGUGGUGCAGGCUCAUACACAAGCGUGAGCAAUAACAAGCAUAAAGAAUGUAAUAACAAUGUAAUAGCAAGUGUACAAGCGUCGGGGUGAGUGCAGAAGUCGUUUACCUUCUUGGAGCUGCUGUGCUUGUCUUGAUCAGGUCUACACUUCCGGUGAUCGUUUCCCUCUACUUCUGGCCGGCGCCCUCUGUUCCCCUCUGCAAGUGAAGAUGAAGAUGUUCUUUCACGGAAUCCUCUCAGUAGUGUGCUCUAUGUUUCCUGUUUUUUUUCUUAUUGUUUGGAAAUGGGGUCUAGAGUGAUGCUCAUGGGAAGCAUGGUGGAGGUCGAGUUUAGGAAGGAGGCAGAGAUACGGUGAUUGGUAAUUCUGUUGAGUGAACAACGGCGUAAAAAAAUGGUGAGGAUGGGCAGCCAAAAGGGAUUUUCUGUUAUUCCCGUAGUGAGUGCUCCAUGAGUGAGUCAGUGAUGAUUGUUAGAGAUAAUGAAGAAUCAAUUUCGUUAUGCCCUCUUCUCCGUGCUUCGUGGAGGAGACAAUUCUGUUGAGCCCCUUGUGAAUAGAUCACGUUUUUUCUUUUUUCCUUUUUUUUUUCUUUUCCUUUUCUUCUUUUUUUCUUUUCUUUUUUUCUUUUUUUAAAAAAUAAUAUGG